rnacentral:rRNA from 1 species
UGUCAAUAGCCUAACGGCUGAACCAGCAACUUGGAGGAAUGUAUAGCAAUAGCUACUUGUAUCAUUAAUAGAUGCAAGCUCGACUAUGUUGAAUAAAAUUCUAGGUAGAAUUAUGAUAAUGACAUUGUCUGCCUAUGUGUCUUGACCAAAUUACGUGCCAGCAGUCGCGGUAAUACGUAGAAGACUAGUGUUAUUCAUGUUUAAUCGGUUUAAAGGGUACCUAGACGGUGAAUCAAGCUUUAAAUAAAUAAAAAAAGGGACUAAUUUACUAGAGUUACUUACGAGGGGGUAUUAAAGUACUGCUGGUGUAGAGAUGAAAUUCUGUCAUACCUCUUUUCGAAAGAAAAAUCAUGGCACAGGUAUAGGCGAAGGCAUCCCCUUAUGUGAUAACUGACGUUGAGGGACGAAGGCUUUGUGUAACAAACAGGAUUAGAUACCCUAGUAGUUGAAGCAGAAAAUGAUGAAUGUCAUAGAUUAGACGUCUAAGUUUAUUCUAUAAAUGAAAGUGUAAGCAUUCCACCUCAUGAGUAAUUUGGCAACAUUGGAAUUGAAAUCAUUAGACCGUUUCUGAAACCAGUAGUGAAGUAUGUUGUUUAAUUUGAUAAUCCGCAAAAAACCUUACCACAAUUUGAAUAUUUAUAUUCUUUAUUGUUAUCUCAUUAAUUUUCUUCUUUUUUUUACUUGAUUAAAAAACUAAACAAUUAAAGAACAAAAACAGGAAUAGACAAUAAAAUUAAUCAAGAGGCAAUAACAUAUAUUUACAAGCGUUGCACGGCUGUCUUCAGUUAAUGUCGUGAAACUUUGGUUAGUUCCAUUAAAUUAAC